AUGGACAACGAGUUUGAGAAGGGGGUGGGGCCUCGGAGAUUCAGGUACAACAAGCUGUCGCGGGCCACUCGGGGAUUCUCCGACGAUGAGAAGCUAGGCGAGGGUGGCUUCGGGGCAGUAUAUCGAGGGUUCUUGCAAGACCAGGGGCUGCAUGUGGCCAUCAAGAGAGUUUCCAAGACGUCGAGUCAGGGGAGGAGAGAAUACAUCGCAGAAGUGACCAUCAUCGGUCGGUUACGGCAUCGCAACCUUGUCCAGCUUGUCGGGUGGUGCCACAAAGCCGACGAGCUCUUGCUCGUCUACAAGCUUAUGACGAACGGCAGCCUCGAUGCCCAUCUCUACAAUUCCACGGAAGUCCUAACAUGGGCAACCAGGUACCAGAUCAUACUUGGCAUGGGGUCUGCUCUGACAUACCUGCACCAGGAGUGGGAGCAGUGCGUGGUGCACAGGGACAUCAAGCCGAGCAACGUGAUGCUUGACUCAUCGUUCAACGCCAAGCUGGGAGACUUCGGGCUCGCGCGCCUCGUCAACCACAGCAGCGGCGCUCACACCACGACGACGUUGGCCGGCACCAAGGGCUACAUGGACCCGGCGUACGCGGUGACCAUCCGGGCUAGCGCGCAGACCGACGUCUACAGCUUUGGGGUCGUCCUCCUGGAGAUCGCCUGUGGCCGGAGGCCC
rnacentral:rRNA from 1 species